GACGAACGCUGGCGGCGUGCUUAACACAUGCAAGUCGAACGGAAAGGCCCUGCUUUUGUGGGGUGCUCGAGUGGCGAACGGGUGAGUAACACGUGAGUAACCUGCCCUUGACGUUGUGAUAACUUCAGGAAACUGGGGCUAAUACCGGAUAGGAGCUCCUGCUGCAUGGUGGGGGUUGGAAAGUUUCGGCGGUUGGGGGUGGACUCGCGGCUUAUCAGCUUGUUGGUGGGGUAGUUGCUUACCAAGGCUUUGACGGGUAGCCGGCCUGAGAGGGUGACCGGACACAUUGGGACUGCGAUAGGGACCAGACGCGUACGGGAGGCAGCAGUGGGGAAUAUUGCACAAUGGGCGGAAGCCUGAUGCAGCAACGCCGCGUGCGGGAUGACGGCCUUCGGGUUGUAAACCGCUUUCGCCUGUGACGAAGCGUGAGUGACGGUAAUGGGUAAAGAAGCACCGGCUAACUACGUG
rnacentral:rRNA from 1 species